rnacentral:piRNA from 1 species
GAGCAGUGAUAGGUACCCAUCCUGGAUGCC